GGAGGGGUGGCAGAGCGGUCAAAUGCAUCGGAUUGUAACUCCGACGUCUUCGGACUACGUAGGUUCAAAUCCUACCCCCUCCACCA
rnacentral:tRNA from 1 species